ensembl:lncRNA
GGGUGUUACGGUACAGAGUCAAUGUGGAGGCUAUAUACAGGGUGUUACGGUACAGAAUCAAUGUGGAGGCUAUAUACAGGGUGUUACGGUACAGAAUCAAUGUGGAGGCUAUAUACAGGGUGUUACGGUACAGAGUCAAUGUGGAGGCUAUAUACAGGGUGUUACGGUACAGAAUCAAUGUGGAGGCUAUAUACAGGGUGUUACGGUACAGAAUCAAUGUGGAGGCUAUAUACAGGGUGUUACGGUACAGAAUCAAUGUGGAGGCUAUAUACAGGGUGUUACGGUACAGAAUCAAUGUGGAGGCUAUAUACAGGGUGUUAUGGUACAGAGUCAAUGUGGAGGCUAUAUACAGGGUGUUACGGUACAGAAUCAAUGUGGAGGCUAUAUACAGAGGGUACCGGUACAGAGUCAAUGUGGAGGCUAUAUACAGGGUGUUAUGGUACAGAAUCAAUGUGGAGGCUAUAUACAGGGUGUUACGGUACAGAAUCAAUGUGGAGGCUAUAUACAGGG